rnacentral:lncRNA from 1 species
GGAUAGUGCUCAGGGCCUCUGUCUCUUGCUCUUCCCUAAAGGUCCCUCAACCACCUUGUCCUCCCAUGGGCACUCGUGGCAGCUAGAACUUUGCUUUUAUGAAACUGCCGUCCACUUUCCUAGCUCCUCUUGCUGCCCAUAAGCCAUCCCUGGUGUCUGUAUUCCUUGCAGCCUUGAGGAACGGAGGACUUUUUCCCAGCACUGAGCUGCUCCGGAGACCCCAGCCUCCCCACUGUGCAUAGCCUAUACCGCAGAGGCUGGGGCCUGAGAAAUGGCCCUGACCAAAGGAGCAUCUGCCUGGGAGUCCGCCCCCACUUUGUUUGGUGUUUGUGUCUGUAUUCUUGCAGUUCUGUUCUUGGACUUGAUACCUCUGCGCUUGGUGGUGGGACUGGCCUAUCAGAGUCUAGUGUCCUCAGAGCUGAGGAAGGGAAAGAGGGAAAAUGUGAACUCCUGGAGAACAACUGGCCCAACACACCCUGUGCCAGGCUGUGCAGUUCAGAGCCCUCACCGUCAUCCUCACCCCCUGCCCCGUGUUCUCCCUUCCUUCCCACAGCACAAUCGAGCUAAUCCGAGGAGUGUGAGAACUCCUCUUGUCAGGGUUUUUUGAACAGUUACUGAAGCGUGCUUCCUGGGAGAUGUGGGUUUGAGGGGGUGCUGAAAUCUAGGCUGGAGGAUGAGACAGACUCUUUCAGCUGAUGACCACAAGGAACAAUGAUCCAUUCUCCAGUAGAUAGGACUCUGUGUGCAAGAGGGACAGUUUUCUUCACCUCUUUCCCAUCACUCCCCACUUAAGAAUAAACGUUAGGGCCAUUACCCCC